rnacentral:rRNA from 1 species
AUAGAAAGUGAAAGUCUUGUAAGCGAAACCAAAAACACCUCGGGCGAUAUCCCAAGUACCAUGGGGAAAGUACCUUGUGGGAAUCUGGGGAGGCCACUCUCCAAGGCUAAAUACUCCUUAUGUCCGAUAGUGAACUAGUACCGUGAGGGAAAGGUGAAAAGAAGGGUGAGACACCCAGUGAAAUAGAAACUGAAACUACUAGCUAACAAACAGACGAAGCUUGUGCUUCGCACACAGGAUGACAGGAAACAGGAAUUAGUGAAUAGUCUUUUGAUUGUUCAUUGUUCACUGUAAUCUUGCUAUCUUGCGCGCGGAGCGCGAGUAACGUCGUGCCUAUUGAAGAAUGAUCCAGCGAGUUUUCGGUUGUCGCUUGUUUAAGUCCGCUCAGCGGACGUAGGCAAAGCGAAAGCGAGUGUUAAAAGCGCGCCCCGGUUUACACCGGGAUCGCGGCAACCGGAAGACCCGAACCCGGGUGAGCUAACCUUGAGCAGGGUGAACCCCGCCGAAAGGCGGGAGGAGGCCCGAACUCGUUGUCGUUGCAAUGACAUGAGAUGACUUGAGGUUAGGGGUAAUAUGCUUAUCGAACCCGGAGAUAGCUGGCUCUCCCCGAAAUAUAUAUUGGUAUAGCCUGUCUGUAUAAGCCAAAGAGGUAGAGCUACUGAGUGGUUGCAGUGCAGCAAUGUAUUGCAAUCAACCAAACUCCGAAUGCUUUGGUGUUCACAGAUGGAGUCAGACUGGUCGGGCUAAGCUGAUCAGUCGAGAGGGAAACAGCCCAGACUUGCAAUUAAGGCCUCUAAAUUUUAGCUAAGUUAAAGGAAGUUAGGUUCCUCAGACACCCAGGAGGUUGGCUCAGAAGCAGCCAUCCUUUAAAGAAAGCGUAACAGCUCACUGGAUGAGCUCCGGUGUUACACCGGAGGGGGAAUCUAGCGCCGUAAAUGAUCGAGAAUAAGCUAAAUGCCGAAAUUCAAGACCUCGUGCGCAGCACGAGGAAAUUCUAAGAACUAAAUCCUAAACUCUAAUUAAUUUCAAAAUUACAAUUUUCAAAUAAUAAAAAAUUUGGAAUUUGUAAUUUAAUAAUUGAAAUUUAUUUGGUUUUUUGGAUUUGGAAUUUGGGAUUUUCUCAUGCUACGCAUGAGUGUGGUAGGGGAGCGUUCCAUCAGCAGUGAAGCUCAGGUUGUAAGACCGGGUGGAGCGGAUGGAAGUGAGAAUGCUGGAAUGAGUAACGUAAGUCCGAUGAGAAUUCGGACCGCCGAAUACCCAAGGUUUCCCACGCAACGUUUGUCGUCGUGGGGUAAGUCGGGACCUAACAUGAGGCCAGAACACUGGCGUAGUGGAUGGACAACAGGUUGAUAUUCCUGUACAAGGAAGCAGUCGUUAUUACCAAGGGACUGACGGAGUCGGAAUAACCGGGUCAGGAGAUGAAAUUCCUGAUUUAAACACAAAAAUAGUUUUGAUUGGAAAAUCCGUUGAAACGCUUAAAUUGAUGUGUGAUGAAGAUCCCGGUGUUACACCGGGAAAUCCGGUAAGGUUCAGUUCCCAAGAAAAGGUUCGUUGGGAGACUGUUUUUUUCCCGUACCGCAAACCGACACUGGUGGGUUGGUCGAGUAGACUAAGGCGAUCGAGAGAAGGAGGUUCAAGGAACUCGGCAAGAAAUCUGGACGUAAGCUUUGCAAGAUGUCCUGACCGUUUUGGAACUACUUUUGUAGUUUUGAAAUGGCCCACAGCAAAAGAUUGUCAAGGGACUGUUUAACUAAAACACAGGUCUCUGCAAACCCGUAAGGGAAAGUAUAGAGGCUGCGACCUGCCCAGUGCCCGUAGGUUAAAGUUUGGGGUGAUCCCCGGUGUUACACCGGGAUGAGCUCUGGGCCUAAGCCCGGGUGAACGGCGGCGGUAACUAUAACCGUCCUAUGGUGGAUUUGCUGCCAUAGUAAAAUCUGACUAUAUGCUGGAAUAUCCGGAGUAUAUGAUCGGUACUAACAUUUUGUUAUAUUAUUAACUUAAUGACAGUAAAAAUCCGACAUUGUACGACAAGGUGCGCCAAGUCUGACUUGGCUGGCACGUUUGACGUGCCGGACAAUCAGCAGGAAAGAUUAAAAAUGGUUGGUUGGAUAGUAGGAAUUACAGAUGGAGAAGGUUGUUUUACAGUAAGUAUCAAUAGAAAUCCUACAACAAAGCUUGGUUGCCAAAUUCUUCCGGAAUUUGUGAUUACACAAGGCGAACGAAGCCUGUUUGCUCUUAAUAAAAUUGAAAAAUUUUUUAAGUGCGGCAGGGUUUUUGUUAACCGAAGACACGAUAAUCACAAAGAAGAUAUCUAUCGGUAUUGUGUAAGAUCAAUUAAAGAUCUGCACGAUAUUAUUAUUCCAUUUUUUAAAGAAAACAAAUUAAUGACUGGAAAAAGAAAAGAUUUUAUUUUCUUUUCUCAAAUUGUUGGGAUAAUGUUUCAAAAAAAGCAUUUAUCAAAAAAUGGAAUUGAAAAGAUUGGAAGAAUUAUUCAAAAAAUGAAUACCAAGAAAAUGCCAUCAUUUUUAAAAUCCUCAGAGACUACAUGUCAGAGUCCCGCCAAAUCGGCGGGGGAAGAUAUAGUCCCAUCUGCAUGGCGACAUGCAGUUAAGAUGUAUUUUAAAAAUACAAUGAGCGAAGUCCCUCGUCUGGUGAGUUCAGACCCGCACGAAAGGUUUAACCACUUGACAACUGUCUCGAACCUUCACUCGGUGAAAUUGAAAUGGCUGUGAAGAUGCGGCCUACAUACUCUUGGACAAAAAGACCCCGUGGAGCUUUACUGUUAUUUGAUACUGAAAUGAAGCGAUGAAUUGUUUAGCGUAGGAGGGAGUCCCGCCUUUGGCGGGACAUCAAUGAAACACCUCUCUUUCGUUGUUUUCAGAUCUAACCCAUUCCGGCUGGAGACGCCGGAGGGGACAGUGUUAGAAAGACAGUUUGACUGGGGCAGUCACUUGCUAAAAGGUAACACAAGUUCACAAAGGUACCCUAAGCCCGGAUGGAAAUCGGGUGUUUUGUGUAAAGGCACAAGGGUGCUUGACUGCGAGACUGACAGGUCGAGCUCCCGAUGUAAAAAUCGGGACGCCGAUGCCGAAAGGCCAUCGGUGAGGUGCGAAAGCAGGUCUUAGUGAUCCUCUAACUCGUAGUGGUUACGGUUAGAGCUUAAAGGAUAAAAGCUACCCCGGGGAUAACAGGCUAGUCGCGCCCGAGCGUCCACAGCGCCGGCGCGGUUCGGCACCUCGAUGUCGGCUCACCGCAUCCUGGGGGUGAAGAAGCCCCCAAGGGUUGGACUGUUCGCCCAUUAAAGCGGUACGCGAGCUGGGUUCAGAACGUCGUGAGACAGUUCGGACUCUAUCCAGAGUAUGCGUUCGAUUUUUGAGGGGAUUCCCCCAUAGUACGAGAGGACCUGGGGGAGGGAACCUCUAGUGUGCCAGUUGUUUCUGUCAAGAGCAGCGCUGGGUAGCUACGUUCCUUAAGGAUAACCGCUGAAAGCAUCUCAAGUGGGAAGCCCACCCCAAGAUUAGAAAUCGUACCCCGCCAUCGGCGGGGGAGAGACCCCUGGAAGACUACCAGGUUGAUAGGCGGCCGGUGUAAGUGCAGCAAUGUAUUUAGCCUAGCCGUACUAAUGGUCGAAUG